rnacentral:rRNA from 1 species
UACGGGGGGGGCAAGCGUUGUUCGGAAUUACUGGGCGUAAAGGGCUCGUAGGCGGCCAACUAAGUCGGACGUGAAAUCCCCAGGCUCAACCUGGGAACUGCGUCCGAUACUGUAUGGCUUGAAUCCGGGAGAGGGAUGCAGAAUUCCAGGUGUAGCGGUGAAAUGCGUAGAUAUCUGGAGGAAUACCGGUGGCGAAGGCGGCAUCCUGGACCGGCAUUGACGCUGAGGAGCGAAAGCUAGGGGAGCAAACGGG